rnacentral:rRNA from 1 species
UACAGAGGGGGCAAGCGUUGUUCGGAAUCACUGGGCGUAAAGGGCGCGUAGGCGGCCUUCUAAGUCGAACGUGAAAUCCCCGGGCUCAACCCGGGAACUGCCUCCGAUACUGGAAGGCUUGAAUCCGGGAGAGGGAUGCGGAAUUCCAGGUGUAGCGGUGAAAUGCGUAGAUAUCUGGAGGAACACCGGUGGCGAAGGCGGCAUCCUGGACCGGUAUUGACGCUGAGGCGCGAAAGCCAGGGGAGCAAACGGG